CGCAUCUGUGCAUGCAGCAUAUCAAUAAGCGGAGGAAAAGAAACUAACAAGGAUUCCCCUAGUAACGGCGAGUGAAGCGGGAAGAGCUCAAAUUUGAAAUCUUAAAGGGUUUCCCUUUACGAAUUGUAGUUUAAAGAAGUGUUUUCUGUUGAGGUUUUGGUAAAAGUUCUUUGGAAUAGGACAUCAUAGAGGGUGAGAAUCCCGUAUUUGACCUUUACUUUCAACUUUGUGAUACACUCUCAAAGAGUCGGAUUGUUUGGGAAUGCAGUCCAAAAUGGGUGGUAAAUUUCAUCUAAAGCUAAAUAUUGGCGAGAGACCGAUAGCGAACAAGUACCGUGAGGGAAAGAUGAAAAGAACUUUGAAAAGAGAGUUAAACAGUACGUGAAAUUGUCAAAGGGAAGCGUUUGACACCAGUGUUGUUUUUCUGAAAAUCAAUUAAAGAACUGUUUAUGCUAAGUUGUUUAGACUUUAUCAGCUAACUGUUUAGUUUUGAGCUUUUCUUUAAUGCACUUUUCAGUUAACAAGUCAACAUCAAUUUCUUUUGCUGUAAAAAAGCUUGAGGAAGGUGGCUUGAGAUUCGUCUUAAGUGUUUAUAGCCUCUUGCCUAUGCAGUCGGAGAGAUUGAGGUCUGCAGCGUAGAUCCUUCGGGGCUAAAUGCAUUUGUGCUAAGUUAUAGCAUUUUAUAGGACAACUUGUUGACUAUGAUUUGUCUUGUAGCUUACUCGCUUAUGUUAUUUUACCUACGCUUAGGAUGUUGAACGCGCACAGAGUCUC
rnacentral:rRNA from 1 species